UGCAAGUCGUGCGGACCUUUUAAAAGCUUGCUUUUAAAAGGUUAGCGGCGGACGGGUGAGUAACACGUGGGCAACCUGCCUGUAAGAUCGGGAUAACGCCGGGAAACCGGGGCUAAUACCGGAUAGUUUUUUCCUCCGCAUGGAGGAAAAAGGAAAGACGGCUUCGGCUGUCACUUACAGAUGGGCCCGCGGCGCAUUAGCUUGUUGGUGGGGUAACGGCCCACCAAGGCAACGAUGCGUAGCCGACCUGAGAGGGUGAUCGGCCACAUUGGGACUGAGACACGGCCCAAACUCCUACGGGAGGCAGCAGUGGGGAAUCUUCCGCAAUGGACGAAAGUCUGACGGAGCAACGCCGCGUGAGUGAAGAAGGCCUUCGGGUCGUAAAACUCUGUUGCCGGGGAAGAACAAGUGCCGUUCGAACAGGGCGGCGCCUUGACGGUACCCGGCCAGAAAGCCACGGCUAACUAC
rnacentral:rRNA from 1 species